rnacentral:lncRNA from 1 species
GGCUUUUUAACUGUUUUGAUAUGAGCGUCACUGAUGAGUCUUAUGAAGACGAAACGCGCAUCUUGCAUAUUAAAUUAUAAUCCUGGUACCUUUGAUAACUAUUUUGACGAAUUUAUGACAUAUUUAUUUCCGAAAUAAAUGAUUGUCCGAACUAUUUAAUCGAGAAUAAUGAAUGAAGCAGAAAUAAUAAAAUUCAACAGUUACGGAUAUCCUUCUAUAAACAUUUAUUACAGUUACGGAUAUCAGCCUUUACAGUUACCAAUAUCCUCGGGAUUUUUUAAAUGAUGAUUUAUCCAUUUAGCGGUUGAACUAUGACAAGAAACGUUGUAUGUAAGUUUCAAACUUAGUAAUACUUUAGAUAGGACACGAAAUACCGAAGAAUAAUACAGAAUUAUAACACAAUUGACAAAAGAAAUAUUGACCAGAAACAUCGUCCGCCAUCUUUGGAUAUACGUAACUGCAGUUACGGAGAUCACAUUUACCCC